GACGAACGCUGGCGGCGUGCUUAACACAUGCAAGUCGAGCGGUAAGGCCCUUUCGGGGGUACACGAGCGGCGAACGGGUGAGUAACACGUGGGUGACCUGCCUUUAGCUCUGGGAUAAGCCUGGGAAACCGGGUCUAAUACCGGAUAUGACUCCGCGGCGCAUGUUGUGGGGUGGAAAGCCUUGUGCGGCUGGAGAUGGGCCCGCGGCCUAUCAGCUUGUUGGUGGGGUGANGGGCCUACCAAGGCGACGAUCUGUAACCGGCCUGAGAGGGCGGUCGGUCACACUGACACUGACAUACGGGUCAGACUCCUACGGGAGGCAGCAGUCGGAAUUUUGGGCAAUGGGCGAAAGCCUGACCCAGCAACGCCGCGUGAAGGAUGAAAUUUUUCGGAAUGUAAACUUCGCAAGAACGGGAAGAAUAAGUAGAAGAUAAUACCUU
rnacentral:rRNA from 1 species